AGUGCAAUGAAGAGCCACUGAAAUAAUAAAGCUGUCAUAAGGCGUCAAUUGCAAUGGAAAAGGGAAAUGGAAUCUAUGCAAUUGCCAACUGAAAAGAAGAAAAAAAUACAGCACAAAAUGGGACAGUUGGUAUAGGUGGACAACUUAAGGAAUAGCAACGCACAAUCCAGAAGGAUAUUUGUAUCCUUGACGUGACAAAACAGCCAUAAGUGUAAUUGAAAUAUAUGAUCCUUUUGGCAUUGAUGCAGAUACCUAAUUUUGAUGGUGUAGGAGAAUGAAUGAUGUGACAUUUUGCUCAUUUUCCUCAGCUAUAGCUUGUACAGUUUCUUAAGAGUAAAUGACCUUACAGUAUUGUAUAAUAUAGUCUUGACCCUGACUGUUAUGGCAGCUUAAAGUGUAAACAUGCAGUCAGCAAAACAGCACUACUGAAAGUUGGAUAUAAUUUACAGUGGGACAAAAUCAACUGAAAGUUUCAAUGGCAGUGCCUGAUGGCCUUGACAUUGUUCUAAGUCUAUAUCAUAAUAGGUUCAGUUAAAACCAGAAAUUUUGUCUCUGGAUGGGCAUUAUGAAGAUAG
rnacentral:lncRNA from 1 species